rnacentral:misc_RNA from 1 species
AAGUCGUAACAAGGUUUCCGUAGGUGAACCUGCGGAAGGAUCAUUCAUAAUCAAGUGUUUUUAUGGCACUUUAAAAAAUCCAUAUCCACCUUGUGUGCAAUGUCAUCUCACUGGAGGGCCAACGGCUGUAAAAAUCCGUUUGGUCACCUUUGGGAUUUAUAUCUACUCAGAACUUUAGUGAUUUUGUCUGAAAAAUAUUAUGAAUAACUUAAUUCAAAAUACAACUUUCAACAACGGAUCUCUUGGCUCUC